AGUGAACGCUGGCGGUAGGCCUAACACAUGCAAGUCGAACGGCAGCACAGAGGAGCUUGCUCCUUGGGUGGCGAGUGGCGGACGGGUGAGGAAUACAUCGGAAUCUACUCUGUCGUGGGGGAUAACGUAGGGAAACUUACGCUAAUACCGCAUACGACCUACGGGUGAAAGCAGGGGAUCUUCGGACCUUGCGCGAUUGAAUGAGCUGAGGUCGGAUUAGCUAGUUGGCGGGGUAAAGGCCCACCACGGCGACGAUCCGUAGCUGGUAUGAGAGGAUGAUCAGCCACACUGGAACUGAGACACGGUCCAGACUCCUACGGGAGGCAGCAGUGGGGAAUAUUGGACAAUGGGCGCAAGCCUGAUCCAGCCAUACCGCGUGGGUGAAGAAGGCCUUCGGGUUGUAAAGCCCUUUUGUUGGGAAAGAAAUCCAUCUGGUUAAUACCCGGGUGGGAUGACGGUACCCAAAGAAUAAGCACCGGCUAACUUCGUGCCAGCAGCCGCGGUAA
rnacentral:rRNA from 1 species